UGCGCAGGCGGUCUUGUAAGUCAGAUGUGAAAUCCCCGGGCUUAACCUGGGAACUGCGUUUGAAACUACAAGACUAGAGUGUAGCAGAGGGGGGUGGAAUUCCACGUGUAGCAGUGAAAUGCGUAGAGAUGUGGAAGAACACCGAUGGCGAAGGCAGCCCCCUGGGUUAACACUGACGCUCAGGCACGAAAGCGUGGGGAGCAAACAGGAUUAGAUACCCUGGUAGUCC
rnacentral:rRNA from 1 species